CCUACGGGCGGCAGCAGUGAGGAAUAUUGGUCAAUGGACGCAAGUCUGAACCAGCCAUGCCGCGUGCAGGAAGACGGCUCUAUGAGUUGUAAACUGCUUUUGUACGAGGGUAAACGCAGAUACGCGUAUCUGUCUGAAAGUAUCGUACGAAUAAGGAUCGGCUAACUCCGUGCCAGCAGCCGCGGUAAAACGGAGGAUUCAAGCGUUAUCCGGAUUUAUUGGGUUGAAAGGGUGCGUAGGCGGUCGGAUAAGUUAGAGGUGAAAUCCCGAGGCUCAAAUUCGGAAUUGCCUCUGAUACUGUUCGGCGAGAGAGUAGUUGCGGUAGGCGGAAUGUAUGGUGUAGCGGUGAAAUGCUUAGAGAUCAUACAGAACACCGAUUGCGAAGGCAGCUUACCAAGCUACUUCUGACGUUGAGGCACGAAAGCGUGGGGAGCAAACAGGAUUAGAUACCCCAGUAGUC
rnacentral:rRNA from 1 species